GUUCAUAUUUUAGUAUUCCUCUUUUUAAGAGGUUUUCCUUAUAUGUUAGGAUUUACAACGAUGAUGGUUAGGUUUUCACUUCCUUUCCUCAACGGUGAUCGGCGAUGAAAAUUGUUACGUCAAAUAAGAAAAUGAUGCGAUGAAGCGAAGAGCGGACAAGCUACAACGGGAUGAAAAAGGACAGUUUGUGACACCCAAAAAACUCGGUAACUAUUAUAGUAUCCUCUUUUAUUUGGUAACUAAAACAGAAGAGGAAACUAUAUUUAAGAAGAAAAAAUCAUAAAGGAAAUUUUGUAACAUGUUAACAAAAAAUACUAAGGGGAUGUAUCUUGCUUUACAAGGUAAAAAAUCUCAACCCCUAUAUAUGAAAAUAUUUUAAUAAUUAAUUCCUUAUAAGGGGGCCAUAAUUUUUUUCAUGGUGUUAUAUUAUAAAUAUAGCUUGUUAUAUUCAUAACUAAAUUAGUGGUUCAUAAAAACAAAAGCAAUUUGCAAGAAGAAAAUGGGAUACGCCAUGGAGAAAACUAUAGUACUCAAGCUCUCUGCCUUAUUCUUCAUGAUCUCCUUCCUCCUAGCCCUCUGUGAGUAUCAUAUGUGCAUCGUUAUUGAUAUUAUAAUCACUAUUAUUAAGCAAAAUUAUAAUAUUUAAAUAUCGAGAUUGAUACAAAAAAUUGAACAGGUAGUUCAGUGGAGUGCAUAGGAGCAAGAUCGAUCGAGGAAAUGCAUGAAAUUGAAAGAGCAAAAUCUAAUAAUGGAGUUGAACCAAUGGGUUGGCAAUGCAAAAGUGACCAUGACUGCCUUCCUUACCCGCAAUGCCCUCACCCACUUAAGUGCAUUUCUGGCAUAUGUGAAUGUUGAUUUCUAGAUAAUCUAAUCUACUUGUCGAUACAUUACACAAAAUAAAAAGACGAUCUCUUGUUUAUGGUUGUUGUUUGACGAUCAUUAUAAUAAAUACCAAUAUAUUUAUUGGUAGUAUAAGACACUUGUUACAUAACUCGG
rnacentral:lncRNA from 1 species